UACAGAGGGUGCAAGCGUUGUUCGGAAUUAUUGGGCGUAAAGGGAGUGUAGGCGGUUGGGAAAGUCUUCUGUGAAAUCUACGGGCUUAGCCUGUAACGUGCAGAGGAAACUAGCAGACUUGAGUGUCGGAGAGGAUAGGGGAAUUCCCGGUGUAGAGGUGAAAUUCGUAGAGAUCGGGAGGAACACCAGUGGCGAAGGCGCCUAUCUGGCUGACAACUGACGCUGAGACUCGAAAGCAUGGGGAGCAAACAGG
rnacentral:rRNA from 1 species